rnacentral:rRNA from 1 species
GGGUCAGUAGGUUGGUCGUGCCACCGGUACGUACUGGUCUCACUGAUUCCUCCUUCCUGAAGAACCGUAAUGCCAUUAAUUUGGUGUUGCGGGGAAACAGGACUGGUACUUUGAAAAAAUUAGAGUGUUUAAAGCAAGCUAACGCUUGAAUACAUUAGCAUGGAAUAAUGAAAUAGGACGAUCGAUCCUAUUUUGUUGGUUUCUAGGAUUGACGGA